GAUGAAGAACGUAGCGAAAUGCGAUACGUAAUGUGAAUUGCAAAUUCAGUGAAUCAUCGAGUCUUUGAACGCACAUUGCGCCCCCUGGUAUUCCGGGGGGCAUGCCUGUCCGAGCGUCAUUGCUGCCCUCAAGCACGGCUUGUGUGUUGGGCCCCGUCCUCCGAUCCCGGGGGACGGGCCCGAAAGGCAGCGGCGGCACCGCGUCCGGUCCUCGAGCGUAUGGGGCUUUGUCACCCGCUCUGUAGGCCCGGCCGGCGCUUGCCGAUCAACCCAAAUUUUUAUCCAGGUUGACCUCGGAUCAGGUAGGGAUACCCGCUGAACUUAAGCGUAUCAAUAACGGAGGA
rnacentral:misc_RNA from 1 species